rnacentral:rRNA from 1 species
CUAUACAUGCAGUCGAGCGAACAGACGAGGAGCUUGCUCCUUUGACGUUAGCGGCGGACGGGUGAGUAACACGUGGGUAACCUACCUAUAAGACUGGGAUAACUUCGGGAAACCGGAGCUAAUACCGGAUAAUAUUUCGAACCGCAUGGUUCGAUAGUGAAAGAUGGCUCUGCUAUCACUUAUAGAUGGACCUGCGCCGUAUUAGCUAGUUGGUAAGGUAACGGCUUACCAAGGCAACGAUACGUAGCCGACCUGAGAGGGUGAUCGGCCACACUGGAACUGAGACACGGUCCAGACUCCUACGGGAGGCAGCAGUAGGGAAUCUUCCGCAAUGGGCGAAAGCCUGACGGAGCAACGCCGCGUGAGUGAUGAAGGUCUUCGGAUCGUAAAACUCUGUUAUUAGGGAAGAACAAACGUGUAAGUAACUGUGCACGUCUUGACGGUACCUAAUCAGAAAGCCACGGCUAACUACGUGCCAGCAGCGGCCGGGUAAUAAA